rnacentral:rRNA from 1 species
GGGUGGCGAGUGGCGGACGGGUGAGGAAUACAUCGGAAUCUACUCUGUCGUGGGGGAUAACGUAGGGAAACUUACGCUAAUACCGCAUACGACCUACGGGUGAAAGCAGGGGAUCUUCGGACCUUGCGCGAUUGAAUGAGCCGAUGUCGGAUUAGCUAGGUUGGGGGGGGUAAAGGCCCACCAGGGCGACAAUCCGUAGCUGGUCUGAGAGGAUGAUCAGCCACACUGGAACUGAGACACGGUCCAGACUCCUACGGGAGGCAGCAGUGGGGAAUAUUGGACAAUGGGCGCAAGCCUGAUCCAGCCAUACCGCGUGGGUGAAGAAGGCCUUCGGGUUGUAAAGCCCUUUUGUUGGGAAAGAAAUCCAGCUGGCUAAUACCCGGUUGGGAUGACGGUACCCAAAGAAUAAGCACCGGCUAACUUCGUGCCAGCAGCCGCG